UACGUAGGGUGCGAGCGUUGUCCGGAAUUAUUGGGCGUAAAGAGCUCGUAGGCGGUCUGUCGCGUCGGCUGUGAAAUCCCGAGGCUCAACCUCGGGUCUGCAGUCGAUACGGGCAAACUUGAGUGUUGCAGGGGAGACUGGAAUUCCUGGUGUAGCGGUGAAAUGCGCAGAUAUCAGGAGGAACACCGGUGGCGAAGGCGGGUCUCUGGGCAACAACUGACGCUGGAGGAGCGAAAGCGUGGGGAGCGAACAGG
rnacentral:rRNA from 1 species